UACGUAGGGGGCAAGCGUUGUCCGGAAUCAUUGGGCGUAAAGAGCGUGUAGGCGGCCCGAUAAGUCCGCUGUGAAAGUCCAGGGCUCAACCCUGGGAUGCCGGUGGAUACUGUCGGGCUCGAGUCCGGAAGAGGCGAGUGGAAUUCCCGGUGUAGCGGUGAAAUGCGCAGAUAUCGGGAGGAACACCAAUGGCGAAGGCAGCUCGCUGGGACGGUACUGACGCUGAGGCGCGAAAGCGUGGGGAGCAAACAGG
rnacentral:rRNA from 1 species